GUGUGUGGGGGGGGGGGGGGGGGGGGGGGGGGUUGGUGGUUACAGGGGAUUCUCCAGAAAUUAGCUCAGAGGGGAUGGAAUCCACUUGAAUUUAUAUUCAUAAGUUCCUGAGAAUUGACAACUUGAAACACAAAAGGACAUUUGCAUCACUCACUCUCUUAUUUGAUCACAUCUGGAAGUGGGGGGCAGGGGGGUCAUGCCCCCCUCCCCCCCCCCCAAUCCCAGGAAAUUUUUACCUUUUGGCUUAUUAACAUUAAAAAGGUUCCUGUGUCAUAUCCCACUACACAGGUGUCCCCCCCCCCCCCCCCCCCCACAAAAUCCUGCCUACGCCACUGUCUGGAAGAACUCUUGUUAAACAAUGCUGACGGUGAGACAAGUGAUGUAUAACACACACUGAAUGUACUAUUUCAAUAAGACGUUGUAGUGAUAGUGUAUAUCUUGUAUUUAAAUGUAAUUCUGAAACAUAUACUCUACAUGCAUUGCCAUAUAGAUGGCAGACUUUCAUUUAUGGAGAACUUAGAGGCGUGAAAAAUAGCAUUCCUCAAAAUGUGGAGUGGAAAAUUGCAAUCCCAAAAUACUUGGGAGUUAGAUGGAAGUGCAGUUUGUUUUAUCAACUAACACAGUACUUCACACCCAACAGAUUUAAUUCACUGGUACACAGAGGUGCAAUUGUUCUGAAUAUCAAGUCUUAUAUCAGUGUUCGCUGGUACACAGAGGUGCAGUUGUUCUGAAUAUCGAGUCUUACAUCGGUGUUGGCUGGUACACCGAGGUGCAAUUGUUCUGAAUAUCAAGUCUUACAUCGGUGUUGGCUGGUACACCGAGGUGCAAUUGUUCUAAAUAUCAAGUCUUAUAUCGGUGUUGGCUGGUACACAGAGGUGCAGUUGUUCUGAAUAUCGAGUCUUACAUCGGUGUUGGCUGGUACACCGAGGUGCAAUUGUUCUGAAUAUCAAGUCUUACAUCGGUGUUGGCUGGUACACAGGUGCAAUUGUUCUAAAUAUCAAGUCUUACAUCGGUGUUGGCUGGUACACAGAGGUGCAGUUGUUCUCCUGAAUAUCAAGUCUUAUAUCAGUGUUGGCUGGUACACAGAGGUGCAGUUGUUCUGAAUAUCAAGUCUUAUAUCGGUGUUGGCUGGUACACAGAGGUGCAGUUGUUCUCCUGAAUAUCAAGUCUUAUAUCAGUGUUGGCUGGUACACAGAGGUGCAGUUGUUCUGAAUAUCAAGUCUUAUAUCGGUGUUGGCUGGUACACAGAGGUGCAGUUGUUCUGAAUAUCAAGUCUUAUAUCGGUGUUGGCUGGUACACAGAGGUGCAGUUGUUCUCCUGAAUAUCAAGUCUUAUAUCAGUGUUGGCUGGUACACAGAGGUGCAGUUGUUCUCCUGAAUAUCAAGUCUUAUAUCAGUGUUGGCUGGUACACAGAGGUGCAAUUGUUCUCCUGAAUAUCAAGUCUUAUAUCAGUGUUGGCUGGUACACAGAGGUGCAGUUGUUCUGAAUAUAUACCGGUAACACACAUGGACAUAUAGGUGUACAUACUCCAGGUACCGGUAACACACAUGGACAUACAGGUGUACAUACUCCAGGUACCGGUAUUACACAUGGACAUACAGGUGUACAUACUCCCGGUACCGGUAUUACACAUGGACAUACAGGUGUACAUACUCCAGGUACCGGUAUUACACAUGGACAUACAGGUGUACAUACUCCAGGUACCGGUAUUACACAUGGACAUACAGGUGUACAUAUUCCAGGUACCGGUAUUACACAUGGACAUACAGGUGUACAUACUCCAGGUACCGGUAUUACACAUGGACAUACAGGUGUACAUACUCCAGGUACCGGUAACACACAUGGACAUACAGGUGUACAUACUCCAGGUACCGGUAACACACAUGGACAUACAGGUGUACAUACUCCAGGUACCGGUAACACACAUGGACAUACAGGUGUACAUACUCCAGGUACCGGUAUUACACAUGGACAUACAGGUGUACAUACUCCAGGUACCGGUAACACACAUGGACAUACAGGUGUACAUACUCCAGGUACCGGUAUUACACAUGGACAUACAGGUGUACAUGUAGAUCAAAAGCAACACAAACAA
rnacentral:lncRNA from 1 species